rnacentral:rRNA from 1 species
CAGAGGUCCCGAGCGUGCUCGGAUUUACUGGGCGUAAAGGGUGUGUAGGAGGUCGGAAAAGUCGAAUGUGAAAUCCCUCUGCCUAACGGAGGAACUGCGUUCGAAACUGUCUGGCUAGAGGUUCGGAUGGGGAAGCGGAACUCUCGGUGUAGCAGUGAAAUGCGUAGAUAUCGAGAGGAACACCGGUGGCGAAGGCGGCUUCCUGGACGAAACCUGACUCUGAAACACGAAAGCUAGGGGAGCAAACGGGAUUAGAUACCCCGGUAGUCCUAGCUGUAAACGGUGUGCGUUAGGUGUUGGCGGAUUCGACCCCGCCGGUGCCGAAGCUAACGCAUUAAACGCACCGCCUGAGGAGUACGGUCGCAAGGCUAAAACUCAAAGAAAUUGACGGGGGCCCGCACAAGCGGUGGAGCAUGUGGCUUAAUUCGAUGCAACGCGAAGAACCUUACCUGGCCUUGACAUGCAGCGUUCAGUCCCGGAAACGGGAUGGCCCGCAAGGGCGAGCUGCACAGGUGCUGCAUGGCUGUCGUCAGCUCGUGUCGUGAGAUGUUGGGUUAAGUCCCGCAACGAGCGCAACCCUUGUCAUUAGUUGCUACGCAAGAGCACUCUAAUGAGACCGCCGGUGACAAACCGGAGGAAGGUGGGGAUGACGUCAAGUCCUCAUGGCCCUUAUGGGUAGGGCUACACACGUCAUACAAUGGGCGGUACAGAGGGUUGCCAACCCGCGAGGGGGAGCCAAUCCCUUAAAACCGCUCGUAGUCCGGAUUGUAGUCUGCAACUCGACUGCAUGAAGUCGGAAUCGCUAGUAAUCGCGGAUCAGCUUGCCGCGGU